UCUCCGUAGGUGAACCUGUGGAGGGAUCAUUACCGAGUGAGGGUCCUCGCGGCCCGAACCUCCAACCCCAUGUUGUCCGACUCUGUUGCCUCGGGGGCGACCCGGCCCUCCUGGGCGUCGGGGCCCCCGGUGGUCCAUCUCAACCCUGCAUCUGUGCGUCUGAGCAAAUAUUUGAAUCAAUCAAAACUUUCAACAACGGAUCUCUUGGUUCUGGCAUCGAUGAAGAACGCAGC
rnacentral:misc_RNA from 1 species